rnacentral:rRNA from 1 species
AGCUCCAAUAGCGUAUAUUAAAGUUGUUGCAGUUAAAAAGCUCGUAGUUGAACCUUGGGCUUGUCUGGGCGGUCUCCCUUUGGGUUGCACUUCUCCGGGCGAGUCUUUCCUUCUGGCUAACCAUCUUGCUAUUCAUUUAGUGGGUUGGGGAUCCAGGACUUUUACUUUGAAAAAAUUAGAGUGUUUAAAGCAGGCUUACGCUUGAAUACAUUAGCAUGGAAUAAUAAAAUAGGACUUUGGUUUUAUUUUGUUGGUUUUCAAGACCGAAGUAAUGAUUAAUAGGGAUAGUUGGGGGCAUUAGUAUUUAGCCGUCAGAGGUGAAAUUCUUGGAUUGGCUAAAGACUAACUUCUGCGAAAGCAUUUGCCAAGGAUGUUUUCA